GAUGAACGCUGGCGGCGUGCCUAAUACAUGCAAGUCGAGCGAACGGACGAGAAGCUUGCUUCUCUGAUGUUAGCGGCGGACGGGUGAGUAACACGUGGAUAACCUACCUAUAAGACUGGGAUAACUUCGGGAAACCGGAGCUAAUACCGGAUAAUAUUUUGAACCGCAUGGUUCAAAAGUGAAAGACGGUCUUGCUGUCACUUAUAGAUGGAUCCGCGCUGCAUUAGCCAGUUGGUAAGGUAACGGCUUACCAAGGCAACGAUGCAUAGCCGACCUGAGAGGGUGAUCGCACACACUGGAACUGAGACACGGUACAGACUCCGACGGGGGGCAGCAGUAGGGAAUCUUACGCAAUGGGCGAGAGCCUGACGGAGCAACGCGGCGGGAGGGAUGAAGGUCUUCGGAUCGUAAAACUCUGUAAUUAGGGAAGAACAUAUGUGUAAGUAACUGUGCACAUCUUGACGGUACCUAAUCAGAAAGCCACGGCUAACUACGUG
rnacentral:rRNA from 1 species